UUGAUCAUGGCUCAGAUGAACGCUAGCGGCAGGCUUAAUACAUGCAAGUCGAGGGGCAGCAGCUUUAUAGCAAUAUAGAGGCUGGCGACCGGCAAACGGGUGCGGAACACGUACACAACCUUCCUUUAAGUGGGGGAUAGCCCAUAGAAAUGUGGAUUAAUACCCCGUAAUAUUAUUGAAGUGGCAUCACUUUAUAAUUAUAGUUUCGACGCUUGAAGAUGGGUGUGCGGCUGAUUAAGUAGUUGGCGGGGUAAAGGCCCACCAAGCCCUCGAUCAGUUAGCUGAUGUGAGAGCAUGAUCAGCCACACGGGCACUGAGACACGGGCCCGACUCCUACGGGAGGCAGCAGUAAGGAAUAUGGUCAAUGGACGCAAGUCUGAACCAGCCAUGCCGCGUGAAGGAUGAAGUCCUCUGGAUUGUAACUCUUUAUAGGGGCGAAAAAAGGAAUCUUUCCACUUGACAGUACCCUAUGAAUAAGCACCGGCUAACUCCGUGCAGCAGCGCGUAAUACGGAAGGUGCAAGCGUUAUCCGGAUCACUGGGUUUAAGGUGCGUAGCGGAUAGUAAGUCAGGGUGAAUCCUGAGCUUAUCAGACUGCUUGAUACUACUAUCUGAUAUGGUGGAGUAGCGGAUAU
rnacentral:rRNA from 1 species